CCUACGGGAGGCAGCAGGGAGGAAUAUUGGGCAAUGGACGAGAGUCUGAACCAGCCAAGUAGCGUGAAGGAUGAAUGCCCUAUGGGUGGUAAACUUCUUUUAUAAAGGAAUAAAACGAGGCACGUGUGCCUUUUUGCAUGUACCUUAUGAAUAAGGAUCGGCUAACUCCGUGCCAGCAGCCGCGGUAAUACGGAGGAUCCGAGCGUUAUCCGGAUUUAUUGGGUUUAAAGGGAGCGUAGAUGGGUUGUUAAGUCAGUUGUGAAAGUUUGCGGCUCAACCGUAAAAUUGCAAUUGAUACUGGCAGUCUUGAGUACAGUUGAGGUAGGCGGAAUUCGUGGUGUAGCGGUGAAAUGCUUAGAUAUCACGAAGAACCCCGAUUGCGAAGGCAGCUUACUAAACUGUGACUGACAUUGAUGCUCGAAAGUGUGGGUAUCAAACAGGAUUAGAUACCCUAGUAGUC
rnacentral:rRNA from 1 species